rnacentral:rRNA from 1 species
UGGGGAAUUGUUCACAAUGGGCGCAAGCCUGAUGACGCAACGCCGCGUGGGGGAUGAAGGUCUUCGGAUCGUAAACCCCUGUCGAAUGGGACGAAAGACUCGCGAGUGAAUACUUCGCGAGAGUGACGGUACCGUUAAAGGAAGCCACGGCUAACUCUGUGCCAGCAGCCGCGGUAAUACAGAGGUGGCAAGCGUUGUUCGGAAUUACUGGGCGUAAAGGGCGCGUAGGCGGCCCUCUAAGUCAGACGUGAAAUCCCCCGGCUUAACCUGGGAACUGCGUCUGAUACUGGAGGGCUUGAGUAUGGGAGAGGGAUGUAGAAUUCCAGGUGUAGCGGUGAAAUGCGUAGAUAUCAAGAGGAACACCUGAGGUGAAGACGGGUUGCUGGGCUGACACUGACGCUGAGGCGCGAAAGCCAGGGGAGCAAACGGGAUUAGAUACCCACGUAGUCCCUGAGCGGGCUGGCAAGGCGCAU